AUUGAACGCUGGCGGCAUGCUUUACACAUGCAAGUCGAACGGCAGCGCGGGCUUCGGCCUGGCGGCGAGUGGCGAACGGGUGAGUAAUACAUCGGAACGUGCCCAGUAGUGGGGGAUAGCUCGGCGAAAGCCGGAUUAAUACCGCAUACGACCUGAGGGUGAAAGCGGGGGAUCUUCGGACCUCGCGCUAUUGGAGCGGCCGAUGGCAGAUUAGCUAGUUGGUGGGGUAAAGGCCUACCAAGGCGACGAUCUGUAGCUGGUCUGAGAGGACGACCAGCCACACUGGGACUGAGACGCGGCCCAGGCUCCUACGGGAGGCAGCAGUGGGGAAUUUUGGACAAUGGGCGAAAGCCUGAUCCAGCAAUGCCGCGUGUGUGAUGAAGGCCUUCGGGUUGUAAAGCACUUUUGGCGGGAACGAAAAGGACUGUGCCAAUACCACGGUUCGAUGACGGUACCCGCAGAAUAAGCACCGGCUAACUACGUG
rnacentral:rRNA from 1 species